GUGACUCGGGGAGGCACUAAACACCGUGUUAUUUCUCCUAUCUUUCGUCUCUUUCUAGCAUUAUCACCUCGCAACUUUGAAGCGGUAUAUUUCGGUUUUCAGUUGUUUGAUGUGACUGUAAAUGUCAGCAAGUAGAUUGCACGCGCCGGUGAUACUUUUUCAAAAUCAUAUUUGUAGUAGAAAAAAAAUUAAGCAUUUAAUGAUGAAAUGAUGACGAUUUGAUGAUGGUUUGUGCUUCCCGUGUCACCUUAACUGUUGCAUGGUUGUGCAAUCCUCGAUACAGCUGAUUUCCAAAUAUAUUUUAACAUCGUCUGCAUAAAACAAGCGGCAACCGGGAGGUAACUUGCUGGAUAGUUUGUUGAUGAAAAUUGAAAAAAGGUGAGGACCCAAUUUGCUACCUUGAGGCACUCCUGAGAGGCUAGUAAACGGCUCAGAAGAAUCCUGACCAAUUUUUACUACAAGGCGACGUUCUGUGAGACGGGCAAUCAGUAUUCCGUGUUCAACGCGAUCGAAGGCAGAUUUAAGAUCUGUAUGAACAGCAUCAAUUUGAGAUCCGGCGUCCAUGUGGCGUAUACAAAAAAAACGAAUUGAGCCAGUUUAAAUAUGAUAAGGCUAGACCAGGAUAGUCGGGGCGACAGCGCAUCAGUGAGGUAAGCGUCCUACCAUGUAGAAUAACGAGAGCGUCGGUGGAGGUAGAAGUUUAGCUUGUAAGAAAACUGUAAUUGUAGAUAAGUUUAAGUAAUAAAAUCAUUGUCG